rnacentral:misc_RNA from 1 species
GAUGAAGAACGUAGCGAAAUGCGAUAAGUAAUGUGAAUUGCAGAAUUCAGUGAAUCAUCGAAUCUUUGAACGCACAUUGCGCCCAUUAGUAUUCUAGUGGGCAUGCCUGUUCGAGCGUCAUUUCAACCCUUAAGCCUAGCUUAGUAUUGGGAAUCGACUUUACUGUCGUUCCUCAAAUUCAACGGCGGAUUUAUAGCAAUCUCUGAACGUAGUAAUUUUUUUCCUCGUUUUUGAAAUACUAUAAACCUCAGCCGCUAAACCCCAAUUUUUUUAUGGUUGACCUCGGAUCAGGUAGGAAUACCCGCUGAACUUAAGCAUAUCAAUAAGCGGAGGA